rnacentral:rRNA from 1 species
AACGAACGCUGGCGGCAUGCCUAACACAUGCAAGUCGAACGAGACCUUCGGGUCUAGUGGCGCACGGGUGCGUAACGCGUGGGAACCUGCCCUUAGGUUCGGAAUAACUCCCCGAAAGGGGUGCUAAUACCGGAUAAUGUCUUCGGACCAAAGAUUUAUCGCCUUUGGAUGGGCCCGCGUUGGAUUAGCUAGUUGGUAGGGUAAAAGCCUACCAAGGCGACGAUCCAUAGCUGGUCUGAGAGGAUGAUCAUCCACACUGGGACUGAGACACGGCCCAGACUCCUACGGGAGGCAGCAGUGGGGAAUAUUGGACAAUGGGCGAAAGCCUGAUCCAGCAACGCCGCGUGAGUGAUGAAGGCCUUAGGGUUGUAAAGCUCUUUUACCCGGGAUGAUAAUGACAGUACCGGGAGAAUAAGCUCCGGCUAACUCCGUG